UCUCUCUCGAGUUUUAGUUUCUUCACAAUGUCUAUUAGUUAGGUCUAAGCUAUAGAUUCAACAAAACGGUUCUCUAAAAGAAGUUUUGAGAUUGAUGGUAGAAGAGUGUUGGUGGUGUAGAGAAGUAGAACCCUAGCUGAGCUGCGAGAGAAAAACCAAAGACAUAUAUGUUCUUCAGCUUAAGCUGGUUCACUAACACAAAUGAUAAUCUUAUGAAAUGUCCACCCAAGCCAGAAGUUGACUCUCCUGUAUGAUGCACCUAAUUCUGUUUCGACUAGGCACCGAAAAGGGAGAGGAUUCAUUCAUAAACCCUCAAGGUGUUGAAAAGGCUGCUGAGGACUUACAGAAAUGUAAUCCACCAUUUAUGUUUUAUUGAGGACAGACCAAGAGAGAAUAAACAUCUCAGAGACUGGGACGGAGGAAGCAGAGACAAGACAACAGACAUGACCGUGACCAUGCUACAAGGGAUCAUGGAGGGAGCAAGAUUAUGAAGGAUUAGCAUGGUGGGCGGCGACCGAAGGCCAGACAGAGAUGACAAGAGAGAAAAUGAUAUAAAAUACCGACCAAGUAAAUUGGUUCUUUGUACAAAACAGAUUGUAAAGUUGUGAUCUUCUCUUAAUAAUUUCUUUCGCUGUCUA